rnacentral:rRNA from 1 species
UACAGAGGUCUCGAGCGUUAGGCGGAAUCACUGGGCUUAAAGCGUGUGUAGGUGGAUCGUUAAGUACCUUGUGAAAUCCCACGGCUUAACCGUGGAACUGCUUGGUAUACUGGCGGUCUUGAGCCACUUAGGGGCUACCGGAACAAAUGGUGGAGCGGUGAAAUGCGUAGAUAUCAUUUGGAACGCCAAUGGUGAAAAACAGGUAGCUGGGGAGUGUGCUGACACUGAGACA